rnacentral:misc_RNA from 1 species
UUUUAGCCCAGAUAGACGCGGUUACCCCGCAGCAAGCGAUGGCAAAAAGCGCUGGCGCGAGGAGUAUGAGCAGAUAGCUGGAAAUAGC